UGGCAGAGAAAGGUGGGGGCCCCUGGUGCCCCAGAAGCCCUUCGACUCUCAGAGGUCCUGGAAGGGCAGAAGGGGGAGUUUGUUUCUGAGCUAAGUUCAAGGGAGCCGCUGCUGUGUUUGCCAGGAGGCCCAGGGGAGGGGGGACAGGGAGAGGGGAGACUGGAAUGCUGGGGCCACCCGCUGGCUCUCGGCCACUCUCGAAUCCAGGCUCCGGCACUCACUCCCCCUACUCUCCUCACACACGCAGGGUUUCUCCUCUUGCUUUAGCUGCAAAGCUCCCUUUUCCAGAACCUGUGGGAAGGUUCUGCGAACAUUUGGAUGGCUGAGGUCCCUGGCUUUUCAUGUUGGCUGCCUUUCGAAAACUUUUUGAGUUAUUGUCUUAAUUAUAGCAGCCACGAAGGAGAAUUUGAAAUCACCCCGACAGUGGCUCUCAGGAGGAAAUAGCCGGGCGAUCAUUUUCCCCGUGUUCCUGUCUCCUGGGGAGAUCUGGAGUCUCCCCAAAGGGCCCAGUUCUUCCAGGUCUGCUCCCAGGCUUCCUUGGCAGCAGGGGCACAGCCGUUUUCAGGAGGGCACAGAACUGUUGUCCUCCGGGAGAGCUCAGGGAUCAGGACGCAGCCUCAGGUGGUGCAGAACAGCAGGCGCAUGGAAGCCACCUCUGCCCAGGCUUUUUGGAGAGCAUAUCUCCAAUACGGAUUACUCAGAGUGGCCUUAGAGCUGUAUAGUGUGAUGUGCUAGGUUUCGGAGGAUGCAAGGUAACCGUCAACUGCAGUAAGUUCAACACAAGGCGCCGUCUCCCAUUGACUGAGGUCUUCACUUCCUGUAUGUUGGACAUCUCGGGUGCUUGCACUUGAGUGAGAUUUUCCCCCAUAGUUUCUUUAUCUUGGAGUAAAGCCGCUGCCUGCAGUGCUGACAAGUCUUGGCUGCUCUGCUUAUGAUCCAGCUCUCUGCUGUGGCCUGGGAAAGCAGUAGAAGGUGGCCCAAGUCCUUGGGCCCCUGCACCUGUGUGGGAGACCCGGAAGAAGCUCCUGGCUCCUGGCUUCGGAUUGGCACAGCUCCGGCCAUUGUGGCCAUCUGGAGAGUGAACCAGCAGAUGGAAGACCUCUCUCUCUCUCUCUCUUUCUCUGCCUCUCUGUAACUCUGCCCUUCAAAUAAAUAAAUAAAUCUUUAAUAAAAUAAAAUUAAAAAAAUUUAAAAAUGUAAAUAAAAUCAAUGGGAAAAAAUGUGUUCAAGAUAGAGCAGUGAUUCACUUGGAGUUGUUUAUUUUAAAAGCAACCCAUCAGGACUGUGUGUGCUCCUUCGCAGGCAUUUAAAU